rnacentral:misc_RNA from 1 species
UUACCAUUUAAAGUCAAACCAACCAUGAAGAUUAUCAGGCCUGGCUCAUGGAUGUCAGCCUAAAAGUUACACCAUUAUUCAUUUAUUUGCUCUUAAAAUUCACAAAUCUUUCAAAAUUAUGCAAUUCUGUAGAAGUUCAAAAAACCAAGCCUCUAAACUGGCAUAUGGCCUUAUGCAGCAUGGCUCUCAGAAGGUUCUAUUUUCUUUUGCACAUGCCCAAGCACUUGUGUGUUUAUGUUGCUGUGUG